rnacentral:rRNA from 1 species
UACGUAGGGUGCGAGCGUUGUCCGGAAUUAUUGGGCGUAAAGAGCUUGUAGGCGGUUUGUCGCGUCUGCUGUGAAAUUUCGGGGCUCAACCCCGAACUUGCAGUGGGUACGGGCAGACUGGAGUGCGGUAGGGGAGAAUGGAAUUCCUGGUGUAGCGGUGGAAUGCGCAGAUAUCAGGAGGAACACCGAUGGCGAAGGCAGUUCUCUGGGCCGUAACUGACGCUGAGGAGCGAAAGCGUGGGGAGCGAACAGG